GACGAACGCUGGCGGCGUGCUUAACACAUGCAAGUCGAACGGAAAGGCCCUGCUUUUGUGGGGUGCUCGAGUGGCGAACGGGUGAGUAACACGUGAGUAACCUGCCCUUGACUUUGGGAUAACUUCAGGAAACUGGGGCUAAUACCGGAUAGGAGCUCCUGCUGCGUGGUGGGGGUUGGAAAGUUUCGGCGGUUGGGGAUGGACUCGCGGCUUAUCAGCUUGUUGGUGGGGUAGUGGCUUACCAAGGCUUUGACGGGUAGCCGGCCUGGGAGGGUGACCGGCCACAUUGGGCCUGAGAUACGGCCCAGACUCCUACGGGAGGCAGCAGUGGGGAAUAUUGCACAAUGGGCGGAAGCCUGAUGCAGCAACGCCGCGUGCGGGAUGACGGCCUUCGGGUUGUAAACCGCUUUCGCCUGUGACGAAGCGUGAGUGACGGUAAUGGGUAAAGAAGCACCGGCUAACUACGUG
rnacentral:rRNA from 1 species